AAGCUAACAAGACUGUCGACGGGAGCUUUCAGCACCAGUUGCCAACCACUGCGUCCAAGUCCGGACCUGCGUUUUCUCACCUUUGCCGAUCAGCGCGGAAACAAGCGUCACCGGCUCCAUCUGGGUCAGUAGUUGAGCAGUGGGAUUGUUCUUGUCAAAAUGUAACUGAUGCCUGUACAAUUCUUCCUUGGAGCGGAUGAUGGACUCGACUGAGGUAAGAGACGGAUGGAAGAGGCUCGUCUUCCUUUUGCCAGCUUGCCGCCGUUUUAUUUGGGAGCAAGCCACUUCAUCUUUGCAGCAUAAUGAGUAAACAGAGAGCGAUCAGUCCAAUUACCCCCUCAUUGGCGAGGCGUUCCGGCGAGGGGCGGCCUGCGGAGAGACUGAGCUGUCCGCCGUGUGGCCGAGAAAGGGACUCCCGCAAACACAAGAAAAAUGGUGACCGAGAUAUGAUCCCGGCAGGAAGGACAACGGCAGACGGCGCUUUUUCAGUUAACUUGACUUUCUCUGUCGCCUGCAAGAUUAAAAGUGCUCGGAAGGUUUUUGCUAUUUCCAACCCAGAGUUCAUUAACCGGGCAGUACAAAGGAGCCUCGGAGCAAUUGAAUGUAAUUAAGACUUUUUACAGUACCCCAACCUCCACUCAAACAAAGCACAAUUGCACCACUGUUAAAUGACCAGCAUGAGAAGUUGCCAAAAUCAAAGAAGCACACACAGAAAUUUGUCUUGUUGAUUGUCACAAUGGGAAUGAAGAAACUAUUCUAAAAUGGAAACCUCAGAAUCUGGGUAUGUCUAGUUUGCAGGUAGGGAAACCUUUAACAUUUUUUUUUAAAGUCAUACUUUGUAAACCACAAUUC